GGGAAGGGUCUCUCUAGAGAUCUGUUCCACCAGAGCCUGGGAUAGGUCCUGCAGGAAGGAUUUCCAAAUUCAUACAGCUGCUGUCAUAGUAAGGCCAGUCUUAUCACCAGUGGACAGAACUAACUUCAGAUUUGAUCACCUUGCUUCUUAUCUGGAUCAUUGAUGAGGAGGUGCAGAAUUACUGCAUUAACAGAAAUCUACAGCUGGAUUCUAAAAAUAAUGGACAAAACUCCUGUGUGUGGCUCAUCAAGAAGACAGAGGCCAGGCUUACAGUGAUCACUCUGAAAAAAAUCUACCUUGAAGAGAAGAACAGCAGCUGCAUCAAUCUUAGCUGAAAUGUCUGACAGCAGAAUAUCAGUCUCUUUCGUAUAAUGUGGUAUCUGCCCAAGUGAAGUUACAUAUCAUGACAUUAGUGAAAGACCUCAGUUUUCCUACUAAUGAUGGGAUGUAAUUAUUUCAAAAAAGUCGGUAGCUAAAGACAAACACCAGUAGCUAGAAUCCUAAAACCAACAGUACAGAAAUCCAAACUGCAGUUUCUUUGUGCUGUCUUCAGGGAAUACCAUCUCUGCCUUUAUGAAGAGGAAAGAGGAACUUUAAAGAAGAUAGUUCAAAAUUUUAAUAGAGUAUUGUCAAGCUGUGAAAAAUGGUUCUCUUCUAACAAAAUAGAAAGAAAUGCAUUGGCAAUUGAUAGGCCUCUAGCAAGCAGCAAAAAGAACAAAGCAAAGCAUGUGCUUUAGUUUUAUCUGGAAUAAACGUUUCUUCUGUGCCCAUGGGGAAACUCACAGUGGGUAGAGGUAAGCAUACACUUAAGCCUUUGAACAAAUGGAAUUUCAACAAUAAAAUCAAUACAUGUGAAAUAUGAAAAGGGAAUAAUGAAGUAUGUUUUUAUGAUUUAAAAUAAAAUCUGGAAGUAAUAGUAAUUUAAUAAAACUGAAUUACUGAUAGAUCCAUUAAUGAAUAAAUAAAUUAGAAAAUAUUAAAAAUCGUGGAACUUUAUUUUAACAAAGAUUUCACAUUCUAAUAACACCAGUAAGGUUUGUGGAUUUUAAUGCUUCUUUGUUCCAAUGUUGAAGACUUAAGUGCUUUUAUCCACAAAAAAAUUGAAUACAGACUUAGACUUGCUAGUGCAGCCUGAAGUUUACGUAAGGGUGAGUUCAACUCUAAAACACCUGCACAAAGUAAACAGAAUUCUUCAUUUCUUUCUGAAAAUUACCCAGUACUUUCCAAUUAAUGAGCAGUUUAA